GACGAACGCUGGCGGCGUGCUUAACACAUGCAAGUCGAACGGAAAGGCCCUGCUUUUGUGGGGUUCUCGAGUGGCGAACGGGUGAGUAACACGUGAGUAACCUGCCCUUGACUUUGGGAUAACUUCAGGAAACUGGGGCUAAUACCGGAUAGGAGCUCCUGCUGCAUGGUGGGGGUUGGAAAGUUUCGGCGGUUGGGGAUGGACUCGCGGCUUAUCAGCUUGUUGGUGGGGUAGUGGCUUACCAAGGCUUUGACGGGUAGCCGGCCUGAGAGGGUGACCGGCCACAUUGGGACUGAGAUACGGCCCAGACUCCUACGGGAGGCAGCAGUGGGGACUAUUGCACAAUGGGCGGAAGCAUGAUGCAGCAACGCCGCGUGCGGGAUGACGGCCUUCGGGUUGUAAACCGCUUUCGCCUGUGACGAAGCGUGUGUGACGGUAAUGGGUAAAGAAGCACCGGCUAACUACGUG
rnacentral:rRNA from 1 species